ensembl:lncRNA
AGUUGCGUCUAGAUUUACGCUAGCAAUGCACCUGCGUCAGGUAAGGUUAGCUCUGGGCUCCUACGCAAUCUCUCCGUCAUCGGGGCGGAUCCAAAACAGUGGGAAGUAGUGCCGCGUUCAAAAGAACUGGGAACUCGGGAAAAAAUACGAUGUUAAAUCAUGACGUCAUUGAUCUUCAGGUCGGAAAAGUCGGAGUUGUAUAGGCCGGAGUUCCAUAGUUGGAAUUUGGUUUGAUGACCGUUCAAAUCGUUUUUUUUCCAGUCGAGCUCGUUUUUUUUUCAGAGUUCCCAGUUGUUUGAAACCCACUGAAGUCGGAAGUCGAAGAUUUCCGAGUUCCGAGCUCACAGUUCUUUUGAACGCGGCAUAGACUAUUGUUUAUUAUCACCUUCCGGAUUCUUAGAAACUUCCCCUGUUACAGACGCGCCAUCGGUAAGGAAUAUUUACCCUGUUUAGAGGUCUCUCAGCUAAAGACUUCGUAGGAUCUAACGGUGUAGACCUCUCCGAUACACUGUAUCAUGAGUGUAAUGUAAUCAUAAUACUUAUCAGUUCAAUGGAGGAACCAUUAUUUUCUGUUUACGGGGAUUUCGUCGACUGGUCUCUCCAAACUGCUUGGGAACAGAAUGACGCCGAGGUGGACAGUGCGUUUGGAGACUGGAGUUCUGCCUGUAAUGGCAACAAGUCGGAUGCAGUUGAAAGAUCUUCAUCUCUGUCUUCACCCAUGGACAUGGACAUCUCUAAACUCUCAACAAAGUGACUGUGGCAGCUUGUGGAGCCAUCUGGUGGCUGAGCCCAGCAGGCUGAGGCUGUCAGAGCCAAAGCCCAGCUUACACUGCCACAGCCACAGCAGAAUGGUUUCUGCCCUCAGAAUCACACCCUCAAAUUGCAUCUCUGACCAGUGGGAGUCUGUCUUUUUGGAAGAUCAUGAAGAAACUACAGAGACCUCUUGCCCCCCUGCUGCUGCUCUCAUCAAAACCAAGCUGCUGGCCCCCUCCUCCUGCCAUGGUGACACCCCAGCUUUCCUCUACCAAAUCUCCCAGCAGUGGCUGACUCAAUGCAGCAUCCAGCUGCAGCCUCAGCACCACAAGAAGCCUCCUGCACUGAACUAUGGAGAAGGAUAAGAUGAAGAUGCUGCUUAGCAUAGCCCUACUGUACUGUUGUAGAUGGAUGAAACGGGUUGGGUUGAUACCCGGGUGAGAACAAAGUAUACACUUUUCGCAACAUUUUAUUUAUACAGAUUGUAAAGAAAGUACAUUCUAUGAUAUUGUGUAUUUAGUUUGCAGGCGUUUUCCUGGUUUUAUAUAUAAUAUUUUGAUACGGAGUGCAGUUACAGUGAUACUAUAAAAUGUUCUAUAAAUGUAUUGAGUUAUUUAUUCAGUGUAACACCUGUUUUAUACCACUAUUGUCAAGAGCAGAGGGAACAAUGCAAAUCUUUGGAAGUCACAGCACUCCACUAGAGGGCAUACUGGCUUCCUCAUAAGUCCCAACCCCCAUUUUGCAAACAUACAGUGCAUUCAGAAAGUAUUCAGACCCCUUGACUUUUUCCACAUCUUGUUACGUUACAGCCUUAUUCUAGAAUUGAUUACACAUUUUGUUUCUCAUCAAUCUACACACACUACCCCAUAAUGACAAAGCGGAAACAGGUUUUUAGAAUUGUUGGCAAAGGUAUUAAAAACAGAAAUACCUUAUUUACUUGUGCCGAAUACAACAUGUGUAAACCUUCAGACCAUGCACCUCAACAAUGAACACCUCAAGAAACAAGCUUUGUCCAUAUAUUUUGUUUUGUAGAAUACCCAACUCCAAGUCUCACUGUAGAAACCUGGCUUGCGAUCUAGGGCAGUGCAUGGACCCAGAAAAAAAGUAAUUGGGUGUGUCUUCCCACUGUGGAUACAUUUUUAUGGAAAUUUGGAUUGCUUGUGCUUUAACUAUUUAUGGCAUCACAUUAUUGGUGUCCUCCACUUCUUAAUAUUUCCUUAGAUUGGUCCUCUGUUUUUCUUAACCUGCCUUAAUACUCAAAACCAUAGACAUGUGUCAUGUCAUUGGCCAUUUUGUAAGUAAGACUGCAGGGCAUCAUGGAGCUAAUCAGCACAAACCAGUAUAACAGAGAGGUUAUUACAUGUGUACAACUGCAUCUCAGACAGUUCUCUUACAUUUCAACCACCAGGAUUUGCUUUUCCAGACAGAGAAAACAAGAGGUUAGUGAAGGUGCACACUCCUCCCAAAUGUCACUUGUUUGGCUGGCGGGUUGAGUCUGUGAAUAGAAUUGAAAUACUGAGAGAAAAACCGUCACCUUUUUACAAGUAGGCCCCUCCUACAUGACAAGUGAUGUAGGCCCUACACUCCCCCCCCCCCUCUCUCUCUCUACUAUCUCCUCUCAGCUAGUGCACUAGCGGGAUGUCAGAGUGAAUUUAGAUUACAUCUCGUUGCAGUGCAGUUGCGGGAAAAAGGCAAAGGGACGGAAGGAAGGAUGAUCUUGGGUUGUAUUGUGCCUUAUAUGUCACACACACAGAGGAAGGCAUUGGUGCAUUGGACCAUCUUUUUUUGGGGUGGGAUGGUCAAAAUAAAUGAAUAAUAAUACAAAUAAUUGACUUUUUUAAGGGAGAUGGCCCUUGGGCCUGUUAAGAUGAUGAUUUUUGUGCAAUUUCUCUAUUGUCAUAUUAAUAUAUUUGAGCAUUUGCCUGAUCAGUGGACAACGUCCAGUCCCCCCUACCAAGAUAGGCCUGCCCGGUUUUCUGAUUGGCUGAUGUGGCGCAAAAUUCACGUUCAAAGUCAAACACACAUCAGCAAAGAGACCUUGCUCUGACUCUCUUGUCAUUAGUCAGACCAGAUCACGGCUCGUAAAAAAAAAACAGAAUGGUAGUACCGAAAAAAGUUAAGAGACCAAAAUAAGGCUUGAGGCUACAGCUGCUUAAUGUAUGAAAUUAACCAACUCAUUUUCUAAAAGAUCUGGUUCGGCUGGUCCAAGUGUUGUGACAGAUGCUGCUACAGAAGACAGUGCAGUCGAGGUAUGGAGAAAACCUACCUACUGUGUUACUCUUUCUCAGUCUUCAUCCAAAUUCCGACAGGUUUUAAUGCGAAUAUUCAAAAAUCAGCAUAACAACUCCAAGGGGUUUCCAUCAAAUGGACUUGUUGCGGAUAAAAGGCUGUGCGUGAUGAUGUAGUGCACAAAAAUAUACCUUUUCCAUUUCAUUUUCAAUUUAACUGAUGAUUUUCUCACAAAAAAAGUAAAUUAUACAGCGAGUGUGCCCACUGGUAUUGGCUCGUGCGCACUAACCAACAGCUUGCAGACACUGUGCAAGUAGGCCAAUAGCCUAUGGAUGAGAUUAUUAUGGACAAGAUUAUUUCUAUUUGUCAAAUGGCAUCGAUUAUCAUGUCACCAGAAUAAGACCCUUUAUGUUUAUUGGAAAGGAGCACAUCACCUUGCACUUUUCACCAUCCUGUGAAGUUCAUAAUUUAUACUGAACAAAAAUAUAAACCCAACAUGUAAAGUGUUGGUCCCAUGUUUCAUGAGCUGAAAUAAAAGAUACCCGAAAUGUUCCAUUCACACUAAAAGUUUCUCUUAUCUUUUGUGCACAAAUUUGUUUACAUCUGUUAGUGAGCAUUUCUCCUUCUCAUUCUCUCCAAGAUAAUCCAUCUACUUGACAGGUGUGGCAUAUCAAGAAACUGAUUAAACAUAAAAGGCCACUAUUAUGUGCAGUUUUGCAACACAACACAAUGCCACAGAUGUCUCAAGUUUUGAGGGAGCGUUCAAUUGGCAUGCUGACUGCAGGAAUAUCCACCAGAACUGUUGCCAGAAAAUGUAAUGUUAAUUUCUCUACCAUACGGCGUUUUAGAGAAUUUGGCAGUACGUCCAACCGACCUCACAACCACAGAACACGUGUAUGGCAUCAUGUGGGUGAGCGGUUUGCUGAUGUCAACAUUGUGAACAGAGUGCCCCAUGGUGGCGGUGGGGUUAUGCUAUGGGCAGGCAUAUGCUACAGACAACAAACACAAUUGCACUUUAUCGAUAGCAAUUUGAAUGCACAGAGAUACCGUGAUGAAAAUCUGAGGCCCAUUUUUUUCAGUAAUCUGUGACCAACAUAUCUGUAUUCCCAGUCAUGUGAAAUCUAUAGAUUAGGGCCAUAUGCAUUUAUUUAAAUUGUCUAUGUUCCUUAUGAACUGUAACUCAGUAA